GUACUGUGGCCAGAGAAAGCAGGGGAGAUGCAGAAUUAAUACUUCCCUUUCUGUGUUCUAGGAGGGCGAUUUCGGGAGAAGGCGGCCACUUUGGCUUAAGGAUACCUAUAGGCCCCUCAACGCCACAUGCAUGGAAAACAUGGCACAAAAGCUACACGACAGGGAGUCUUCUGAUGAGGAUGAGAUAUUCUAUAAGGAUGCAGGGGAAGUCAUCAAAGCCCCAGCAGAGAAGCUUCUGGCUGCCUAUUGGAUUGAUGAAGAGGCGGGUGAGGAAAGUGAGACAGCACACAAGACUGCCACAGAGUGAGCCCUGUUCUGACUCAAGCCACCUGCAAAUGUUAUUUUCUUCUUAAAAUGGCUUCUCAUAUUGGCUUCUCAGCAUAGCCUGUAAAAAUACUUAUUUUUCUGAUAUUAAAAUGUAUAAAUUCAUAA